AGCGUACACGGUGGAUGCCCUGGCAGUCAGAGGCGAUGAAGGACGUGCUAAUCUGCGAUAAGCGUCGGUAAGGUGAUAUGAACCGUUAUAACCGGCGAUUUCCGAAUGGGGAAACCCAGUGUGAUUCGUCACACUAUCAUUAACUGAAUCCAUAGGUUAAUGAGGCGAACCGGGGGAACUGAAACAUCUAAGUACCCCGAGGAAAAGAAAUCAACCGAGAUUCCCCCAGUAGCGGCGAGCGAACGGGGAGCAGCCCAGAGCCUGAAUCAGUGUGUGUGUUAGUGGAAGCGUCUGGAAAGGCGCGCGAUACAGGGUGACAGCCCCGUACACAAAAAUGCACAUGCUGUGAGCUCGAUGAGUAGGGCGGGACACGUGGUAUCCUGUCUGAAUAUGGGGGGACCAUCCUCCAAGGCUAAAUACUCCUGACUGACCGAUAGUGAACCAGUACCGUGAGGGAAAGGCGAAAAGAACCCCGGCGAGGGGAGUGAAAAAGAACCUGAAACCGUGUACGUACAAGCAGUGGGAGCACGCUUAGGCGUGUGACUGCGUACCUUUUGUAUAAUGGGUCAGCGACUUAUAUUCUGUAGCAAGGUUAACCGAAUAGGGGAGCCGAAGGGAAACCGAGUCUUAACUGGGCGUUAAGUUGCAGGGUAUAGACCCGAAACCCGGUGAUCUAGCCAUGGGCAGGUUGAAGGUUGGGUAACACUAACUGGAGGACCGAACCGACUAAUGUUGAAAAAUUAGCGGAUGACUUGUGGCUGGGGGUGAAAGGCCAAUCAAACCGGGAGAUAGCUGGUUCUCCCCGAAAGCUAUUUAGGUAGCGCCUCGUGAAUUCAUCUCCGGGGGUAGAGCACUGUUUCGGCAAGGGGGUCAUCCCGACUUACCAACCCGAUGCAAACUGCGAAUACCGGAGAAUGUUAUCACGGGAGACACACGGCGGGUGCUAACGUCCGUCGUGAAGAGGGAAACAACCCAGACCGCCAGCUAAGGUCCCAAAGUCAUGGUUAAGUGGGAAACGAUGUGGGAAGGCCCAGACAGCCAGGAUGUUGGCUUAGAAGCAGCCAUCAUUUAAAGAAAGCGUAAUAGCUCACUGGUCGAGUCGGCCUGCGCGGAAGAUGUAACGGGGCUAAACCAUGCACCGAAGCUGCGGCAGCGACACUAUGUGUUGUUGGGUAGGGGAGCGUUCUGUAAGCCUGUGAAGGUGUACUGUGAGGUAUGCUGGAGGUAUCAGAAGUGCGAAUGCUGACAUAAGUAACGAUAAAGCGGGUGAAAAGCCCGCUCGCCGGAAGACCAAGGGUUCCUGUCCAACGUUAAUCGGGGCAGGGUGAGUCGACCCCUAAGGCGAGGCCGAAAGGCGUAGUCGAUGGGAAACAGGUUAAUAUUCCUGUACUUGGUGUUACUGCGAAGGGGGGACGGAGAAGGCUAUGUUGGCCGGGCGACGGUUGUCCCGGUUUAAGCGUGUAGGCUGGUUUUCCAGGCAAAUCCGGAAAAUCAAGGCUGAGGCGUGAUGACGAGGCACUACGGUGCUGAAGCAACAAAUGCCCUGCUUCCAGGAAAAGCCUCUAAGCAUCAGGUAACAUCAAAUCGUACCCCAAACCGACACAGGUGGUCAGGUAGAGAAUACCAAGGCGCUUGAGAGAACUCGGGUGAAGGAACUAGGCAAAAUGGUGCCGUAACUUCGGGAGAAGGCACGCUGAUAUGUAGGUGAAGUCCCUCGCGGAUGGAGCUGAAAUCAGUCGAAGAUACCAGCUGGCUGCAACUGUUUAUUAAAAACACAGCACUGUGCAAACACGAAAGUGGACGUAUACGGUGUGACGCCUGCCCGGUGCCGGAAGGUUAAUUGAUGGGGUUAGCGCAAGCGAAGCUCUUGAUCGAAGCCCCGGUAAACGGCGGCCGUAACUAUAACGGUCCUAAGGUAGCGAAAUUCCUUGUCGGGUAAGUUCCGACCUGCACGAAUGGCGUAAUGAUGGCCAGGCUGUCUCCACCCGAGACUCAGUGAAAUUGAACUCGCUGUGAAGAUGCAGUGUACCCGCGGCAAGACGGAAAGACCCCGUGAACCUUUACUAUAGCUUGACACUGAACAUUGAGCCUUGAUGUGUAGGAUAGGUGGGAGGCUUUGAAGUGUGGACGCCAGUCUGCAUGGAGCCGACCUUGAAAUACCACCCUUUAAUGUUUGAUGUUCUAACGUUGACCCGUGAUCCGGGUUGCGGACAGUGUCUGGUGGGUAGUUUGACUGGGGCGGUCUCCUCCUAAAGAGUAACGGAGGAGCACGAAGGUUGGCUAAUCCUGGUCGGACAUCAGGAGGUUAGUGCAAUGGCAUAAGCCAGCUUGACUGCGAGCGUGACGGCGCGAGCAGGUGCGAAAGCAGGUCAUAGUGAUCCGGUGGUUCUGAAUGGAAGGGCCAUCGCUCAACGGAUAAAAGGUACUCCGGGGAUAACAGGCUGAUACCGCCCAAGAGUUCAUAUCGACGGCGGUGUUUGGCACCUCGAUGUCGGCUCAUCACAUCCUGGGGCUGAAGUAGGUCCCAAGGGUAUGGCUGUUCGCCAUUUAAAGUGGUACGCGAGCUGGGUUUAGAACGUCGUGAGACAGUUCGGUCCCUAUCUGCCGUGGGCGCUGGAGAACUGAGGGGGGCUGCUCCUAGUACGAGAGGACCGGAGUGGACGCAUCACUGGUGUUCGGGUUGUCAUGCCAAUGGCACUGCCCGGUAGCUAAAUGCGGAAGAGAUAAGUGCUGAAAGCAUCUAAGCACGAAACUUGCCCCGAGAUGAGUUCU
rnacentral:rRNA from 1 species